GGUAGCGUGUCCGAGCGGCCGAAGGUGCAGCACUCGAAAUGCUGUGUGGUUAAUAGCCACCGUGGGUUCAAAUCCCACCGCUACCGCCA
rnacentral:tRNA from 1 species